ACAGAGCAAAACUAUGAAACUUGUGUCACUGUCCAAAUAAUUAUGGACCUACAGUAACUGUAUACUGUGCAUGUAUAUCAUCAAAACCAAUGUAACUAAGCAAAAUGUAUCUAAACAUGUAUUUAUUUCAAAUGAAAUGCAGGCAAACACUAUUGAGUGAUAGUUUUUACUAUGUUGUAAGCACUAUUAAGUGAUGAGUCAAAUGAAUCUGCAAAUUGUAUCUUAUUUUUUUAAUUGAAAUGAACUGUUUGUGAAAUAUUUUAUUACUAAUUAGCAGUGGCGGCCCAUGCAUUUUAAGUCUAGGCCUUCAGUGCGAUUCAUGCCAUUAUGAAAACACUGUUUCACAAUUAAUAACCCUAUGCCUAUGGACAUCAUACAUUACAUCGCAGCCAAAUAAUAAUACCAAUUGACAUUUUUAAAACACGUCCACGCAAAAAAGCCAAAACCAAGAAGGUCUAAUACCAGGAAAAAGCUAUCGAAUAAAAUUUGCGAUCUAAAUGUUGCUUGCAAUAAUUUUUGUUUCGUAAGGGUGCACAGUUACUUUUCAAAACUUAAACUGACACUGAAAUUACAUCAUUUAAAGCAUGAUUGCGUCACUCAAGGCCAGCUAGAAGGCCUCAACUGGGACAUCCUAAAGAUCACACCAACCAAGAACAAAUAAACCAAUCUGAUUGGCUGAUGAAUCUGAAAAUCAGAUUUUAGAUGCCUAUUCAUUUGCACUGUUGAGGGAUUCUGUGGAAAUUCUGAAGGCUUAACGGGGUGGAGCUCAGACUCAUGCGCUGCUUCGGAAGCGCUCUGCUUUGAAUUGGAUAAACUAUUCCUUGUUUGCUAUUCGUUUUUAGAUGAAUUAGGAGUGGAAAGCAAUUGUAAAUAAAUUGGCAAAAAGGUGAAUGAGAAUGAAAGGAUUAAAAAAUAUUUAUUUAUUAGACAUGUUAGGCCAGCAGAGAAGGCUUUGCUGGCCCUGAGAAUUCGCCACUGCUAAUUAGUAAUAUUUGGUCCAAAAUAUUACAAAUGCCCUAAAUUAAAUAACUUGUUAUCCUAAAUGUAAAACAGGCCCUAAAUGUAAUAAUAUUUGGUCCUAAAUAUAAUAAAGGCCCUAAAUGUAAUAAAUGUAAUAAAAUAAAAAAGGCCAAAAGUGUUUAGAGGCUUUAUUACACUUAGAACCAACAGUUAUUUUAUUUAGGGUGUUUAAUACAUUUACAACCAAACAAUUUAUUACAUUUAGACCCCUUAUUUGUACCAAAAGUAUUUGCAUUUAUGGCCUUUAUUAACUUUAGGACAACAAAUUAUUACAUUUAGGGACUUUUUUACAUUUAGGACAACAACACUGCAUGAAAAGGGUCAAAUCUGGGAAAAUAUGGGAAUAAUAAACUCCUACUUCAAGUUUGUCAGAUAUGUUAGGGAAAAAGCUGACCCAAGGAACAUAAAUCCGUUAACGUCAACAAAAAGCUGCAUACCUCAAUUCAGCGGACAUAAAGAGGGAACCGUGAAGUUUGAUGGAAAUUUACUGUUGGCAGUCCUGUUGAGAGGGCCUUUUAUAUGUUAAUGACUGGCAAUUGUGAGUGAAAGUUGUUAGGUGAUUGCAGUGUUUUCAGAGCACAGUGGAAGGCAAAUAACUGAAAGUUUGGCUUAUUGUAGGCUACAGUGAACUACAUUACUGUCCAGACAAACAUGCUCAAAUAAACACCCUGAAUGUAAAAAUUGUUAACCAAACAGUGGUGAUAUUUAACUCAAUAAUACAUUUUUGACAGACAUUACAGAAAACUAUGAUUUAAAUAAUAAUUAAAAAAACAGUUUAUUAUUAUACUUAAGUAUGGGUACUAAAGAAAUUGAAUGCAAACAACUGAAUCUGUCCAAUUAAAAUGUUACUGUACAGUACAGUAGGAAACCAAAUUAUAAGGUUAAUAAAAUAAUAAAAAUAUUAUGUAAUGUAAAAAAUUAUGUAAUAAAAGCAGACAAAUAUAAUUUCAUAAAAAAUAAAUAAAAAAUUAUAAAAUGUCUGUUGUUAAAAAAAAUGAUCUGACGUGCAUAAAAAACCCACAAUAUGAAAACUUUAGGAAUCGUAUAGGCCUAAAUCUCAACCAUUGUGCAGAGUGGUAUUACUACUGAUACCUUCUCUUUUGACUGGUUUAACUGCACAGAUUAAGUACUAAGUACUAAUCUGCCUGCAAUAUGUUCCACAAGUAGAAAAGUCAGUCUGUGUGUCCUGCAAACUCCAUACCUCCACAGGGCUGCCAAAAAAAUUUCAGUCUGUCAAAUUGGAGGUGUUCAACAGCUUUUUAUGUAGCCAAGGCUUUAAAGUGUGGCCAUACAGAAAAUACUUUAAAAAAUAAACCUACUAGAAGUAUUUACUGAAGUAAAAAGUGUAACAACUAGCCCUGGUCUCCCCAUUGAUGAAUCCCCCCCUGCACACACCUCCCCUUACACCCCACCAUCUCCUGCACAGAUUUUGUUGUUCUGAUCUCUGGUCAGACUUGUUAAGGAGUCGUUUCAAACACACCUACAGAUGCUACACACAGACAGUCAAACUGCAACAUUCAAAGAAGAAUCUUCAAUAAAAAGAAUCCACUAACCAGGUGAGACCGAUUGAUUUAUACUGUAUUAAAUGUCAAUUCUGUAUUUAUCUUAAUAUGAUUUCAACUGCAUUAUAAUCUUUCACAUAAUGGUUCCUCUUUUCCACAGAAUAAUUGUUUCCCACACGACCAGACUAAUCUUCAGAGAUUAUAUAAGUGUCCUGCAAGACUUAUAAUGAGGCUAUGAGGAAGAAGUAUUCCUACUUGUAUCAUGGAAAGGUAGAGCUGAGAGACUCAAUCAAGACUGUGGCAAAGAGAGAGAAGAUUGCUGAAGACCAGAUCAACAGAGACAGACACAGUAGUGUUGUGUGGAUUAUUUUGUGGACAUGAAGUCUGAUGAAGAAGAUGGUGUUGUCUAUGGUAGGCCAGUGUUGGUUGUAAAACCAGCAGCUUUGAGAAGCUCUGUUCUAGGAGCUACAGAAGAGACUUGAUGCAGACCCACACUAUACUGGGAAAUAAUAACUUUCUUGUGAUGGCAAGUGACACAGAAUCAGAUGCCAGUUCAUUUACGGAACUCUAAUUGAAGCUUCACACUGUGUUUCAGUCGUUUGUAUAUUUUUAUUAUUGUUAUAUUUUGUAUA